rnacentral:rRNA from 24 species
ACGGGUGAGUAACGCGUGGGAACGUACCCUUUACUACGGAAUAACGCAGGGAAACUUGUGCUAAUACCGUAUGUGCCCUUCGGGGGAAAGAUUUAUCGGUAAGGGAUCGGCCCGCGUUGGAUUAGCUAGUUGGUGGGGUAAAGGCCUACCAAGGCGACGAUCCAUAGCUGGUCUGAGAGGAUGAUCAGCCACAUUGGGACUGAGACACGGCCCAAACUCCUACGGGAGGCAGCAGUGGGGAAUAUUGGACAAUGGGCGCAAGCCUGAUCCAGCCAUGCCGCGUGAGUGAUGAAGGCCCUAGGGUUGUAAAGCUCUUUCACCGGAGAAGAUAAUGACGGUAUCCGGAGAAGAAGCCCCGGCUAACUUCGUGCCAGCAGCCGCGGUAAUACGAAGGGGGCUAGCGUUGUUCGGAAUUACUGGGCGUAAAGCGCACGUAGGCGGACAUUUAAGUCAGGGGUGAAAUCCCAGAGCUCAACUCUGGAACUGCCUUUGAUACUGGGUGUCUUGAGUAUGGAAGAGGUGAGUGGAAUUCCGAGUGUAGAGGUGAAAUUCGUAGA